GAUAUGACUGACGUAUGACGUGACGUUUUCAAAUUAAACGUGUGUAAAGGUUUAUAAUUUAUUAUAUUCUGCUACACUAAAAACCCUACAUGAGGCUAGUGGUACUAUGGGAAGUAUCCUCCCAUGCUCUCUAUAUCGGUUUAACAAGAGGGAUGUAGACGUAGGUUGUAACUAUUUAGGAGUAAAGUCAGUGUUGGGAAACACCUCACCGAGUGCAAACGGCCUUGGGUCGUCGACAGACACUCGAAAGAAAAGUUGCUGGUAAUACAAAUAAACACACACUGAAACACAUAUUUAUUUGGAAAGCCAGCAAGUUUUCUUCCCCUAUUGUGUGUGCCGGUCGACGACUAGGCGCUUCUUCUGUUCGGUGAGCAGUCUCCUGUACGUGUAAAUAUUUACGUUCUACCACAACUUUAAUUACCAUACGGAUGUGUACGUAGUUGUUUCACUAAAGACCCCAUGACUUGAAGAAGCGCUUAAAGCACAUUAAUCGUGUGGGAUAUUCCGUAAAGCGCAUUAAUCGUGUGGGAUAUUCCGUGUAAGGUAGGGCACACGAUAUUUAAAAGUUUACAAUUCGGUACUUUUUAUAUUUUUUUUGGAAAGAUUGGACUUUUUAAUGUAUGGUAACAAUAGUUUUUGGUCCAUUAUUGCUUUCCCUCCAUAAUUUGUAGCCAUGUUUAUAAGGCCAUAUGUUUUUAAUACGAUAAGAGUUUGAAUUAUUGGAGAUUUUGGACCUUCAUUUGAACUAAUUGGCAGGUUAGAAGAAGAUGACGUCCUCAGCAGCAGCAGCAGGGAGACAGAGCAGGAGGCAAAAGUUAAAAAGUGAACGAAAAUAUGAAGAAUUUAAGAAGCAGCUUGAAAAAUUCAGCAGAAGCAGAAACAAAAGUUUUUACAAUUGUGUCAACAUGAUCAACGACUGUUAUUAGAAAAAGGAAGAGCUAAAGCUAGGGACAGAAUUAGAAAACAUAGGCAACAUAAGAUGCAAGAUCAACACCCUAGUAAAGCAGGUUUGUCACCGUAUAAGUCACAUAUUGCUCUGGUUAAAGCCAUGGCUCGUGUGCUGCAGUUGUGUACAUUAACAAGGCACUGUCUACUAUACCUGAAAUGUGAAGGUAGUUUCAAUAUGGUCAGAUGGACUUGUCUCACAAUUUAAAAACAAAUAUAUUAACACUGCUGUACCUCAGUUUCAAUCAUUA